rnacentral:rRNA from 1 species
GACGAACGCUGGCGGCGUGCUUAACACAUGCAAGUCGAACGGAAAGGCCCUGCUUUUGUGGGGUGCUCGAGUGGCGAACGGGUGAGUAACACGUGAGUAACCUGCCCUUGACUUUGGGAUAACUUCAGGAAACUGGGGCUAAUACCGGAUAGGAGCUCCUGCUGCAUGGUGGGGGUUGGAAAGUUUCGGCGGUUGGGGAUGGACUCGCGGCUUAUCAGCUUGUUGGUGGGGUAGUGGCUUACCAAGGCUUUGACGGGUAGCCGGCCUGAGAGGGUGACCGGCCACAUUGGGACUGAGAUACGGCCCAGACUCCUACGGGAGGCAGGAGUGGGGAAUAUUGCACAAUGGGCGGAAGCCUGAUGCAGCAACGCCGCGUGCGGGAUGACGGCCUUCGGGUUGUAAACCGCUUUCGCCUGUGACGAAGCGUGAGUGACGGUAAUGGGUAAAGAGGCACCGGCUAACUACGUG